rnacentral:rRNA from 1 species
UACGUAUGGUGCAAGCGUUAUCCGGAUUUACUGGGUGUAAAGGGAGCGCAGGCGGUACGGCAAGUCUGAUGUGAAAGCCCGGGGCUCAACUCCGGUACUGCAUUGGAAACUGUCGGACUAGAGUGUCGGAGGGGUAAGUGGAAUUCCUAGUGUAGCGGUGAAAUGCGUAGAUAUUAGGAGGAACACCAGUGGCGAAGGCGGCUUACUGGACGAUUACUGACGCUGAGGCUCGAAAGCGUGGGGAGCAAACAGG